rnacentral:rRNA from 1 species
AGAGUUUGAUCCUGGCUCAGGAUGAACGCUAGCUACAGGCUUAACACAUGCAAGUCGAGGGGCAUCAUGGAGUUUGCUUGCAAACUCUGAUGGCGACCGGCGCACGGGUGAGUAACGCGUAUCCAACCUUCCCUAUAGUAGAGGAUAGCCCGGCGAAAGUCGGAUUAAUACUCUAUGUUUUCCGUUGCAGACAUCUAAGAUGGAACAAAGGCUUGCCGCUAUAGGAUGGGGAUGCGUCUGAUUAGGUAGUCGGCGGGGUAACGGCCCACCGAGCCAUCGAUCAGUAGGGGUUCUGAGAGGAAGGUCCCCCACAUUGGAACUGAGACACGGUCCAAACUCCUACGGGAGGCAGCAGUGAGGAAUAUUGGUCAAUGGGCGAGAGCCUGAACCAGCCAAGUAGCGUGCAGGACGACGGCCCUAUGGGUUGUAAACUGCUUUUAUGCGGGGAUAAAGUUCACUACGUGUAGUGUUUUGUAGGUACCGCAUGAAUAAGGACCGGCUAAUUCCGUGCCAGCAGCCGCGGUAAUACGGAAGGUCCGGGCGUUAUCCGGAUUUAUUGGGUUUAAAGGGAGCGCAGGCCGGAGGUCAAGCGUGACGUGAAAUGUAGCCGCUCAACGGCUGAACUGCGUCGCGAACUGGCUUUCUUGAGUGAGUUCGAUGUGGGCGGAAUUCGUGGUGUAGCGGUGAAAUGCUUAGAUAUCACGAAGAACUCCGAUUGCGAAGGCAGCCCACAAGGCCUUUACUGACGCUAAAGCUCGAAGGUGCGGGUAUCGAACAGGAUUAGAUACCCUGGUAGUCCGCACGGUAAACGAUGGAUGCCCGCUGUUUGCGAUAUACUGUGAGCGGCCAAGAGAAAUCGUUAAGCAUCCCACCUGGGGAGUACGCCGGCAACGGUAAAACUCAAAGGAAUUGACGGGGGCCGCACAAGCGGAGGAACAUGUGGUUUAAUUCGAUGAUACGCGAGGAACCUUACCCGGGCUUGAACUGCAGCGGAAGGAAACAGAGAUGUUGACCUUCGGGGCCGCUGUGGAGGUGCUGCAUGGUUGUCGUCAGCUCGUGCC